CCAAAAAUUUAUUUAAAUAGAGGUUUAAUAUUAAAGAGCUUAGUAUGAGAUUUUUAGUAUGAGAUUUUUAAAAGGAAUUUUGGACUUUGAGCUUAAUCGACGGCUUUAAUUGGAGCAGUUAUCCUUACGCUUUGAUCAGCUAAGAUAAGAAAUUAAGAAAAAAUGAAAAAGUAUGAGAAGAUAAAAAUAUGUGAGAAAUAUAAUAGAAAAAUGAUAUUAUUUAAUAUAAAAUAAAUAAGAGUGAAAUAAAAGAGAGAGAGAAGUAUAUUGUUUUCUCUUCCUUUGUUUGGUUCAAGAAGAGAGAAAUGUAAAUUUUAUAGACAUUGAGAGAAAUACCCCUAUUUUAUAUAGUAAAAUAAUUCAUACCUUUAAAUUCCAAAUCUACCCAUCACCGCGAAUGAAGAGAGACUCCAGCAAAUUGAUUUUGGUCGGUUGUGACUCAACGCAAUGGCGGUGCACGCGGUGGUAAUAUUUUGGCCAAAACGCAAUAGCGUUGUGAUAGUUAACGGCACCGAUGGUGGUGGCACAAGCUUCCAACCUCCACCUUCUCUGUUUCUUCCUUCUUCUUCAAAUUCUAUGCUUUCAUUUCAUCGAAAAUCUUGCAAUAUUCUCACCAACAAGCUCCAUGUAUUAGAAAUUUAACUUCAAUGUUCAACGAUUUGUUUCAAUACCUAUAUACCCUAUUUACUUUAACAUGAUGAGAUGCAGCCCUUUCAUCAAAGUUAGAGGGAAAAAAAGGGAGAAUACAAGGACAAUAUACGAAUCAUAAAUUUUGUGAGAGCAUUUCUCUGCUAUCCAAUCAGAAGUUCCACAUGUUUCCUCUCUCCUCUAAUUCAAUCAAACCAAACACAAAUCCUCGAAAUUAUUACUAGAACUAUUUUUUUUAAUGUACCUAAACUUUGUUGGAGAGUCUUAACGGAUGGAGGGAGGGAGCAUAUCGAGAUAUACAAGGAAGUUAGUUUAAAUAAGUUUUGUUUUGAAUAGGCAAAAUUUAUUGAAUUAAUAAGAUAGUAAUAACUUUGGUUUAAAUAACUUGUAAACAUAUCAUACAAUGUCCUUAGACUAAAUGAAAUGAGUGUUUCAAUUUUUAAAAUUUGUAAAGGUUCAUCAAUUUAGCAUCUUAAAUUUGUGAAAUAGAAAUUUAAUCCCUUAAAUUGAAAAAUAUAGUCAAUUUAGACAUUGUUUCAUAUUUAGCACUACAAUAUUAAAGGCUCAAGCUGGGUCAACAAAUUGGAUUAAUUAUUAUUUUUAUGGAUAAAAAGAGGGCCAACGCCCGAGGAAAAGAAAUCAAAACAUAAUAAUCAAACAAGGAGUAGAGACUCUAUCAGGAUAUGCUAACAAAAAAUGUAUAACUCGAGCUGAAUAUAGCUAUUGACCUAAAAACAGCUGGACAAAGCUCAUACACAAGCAAAGAAAAACCACCCCCAUAACCCAUAUUUGCCAUUAUAGCAGUACAAGAGUUAGCUUCGCAGUAUGAGAGGCAGUCAAAUUAACGAUUGUUUUACUGAUUUUUGGGACUUUCUUCUCCACAGUUAGUCACUUUU
rnacentral:lncRNA from 1 species